AUCAUUAACCUCCUGCUUGUGGGUGCCGAGUCUGGAAGCCGCCGUCAGAAAGACUGUGGCGAUCAAGCUCUUCACCUUUUCCUGAUAACCUGAAUUGCAAUUUGGGAGCUGCCGGACAUGUGCUGAGCCACAGCAGGUGUCUGCUCCCCGGAGUGCACCUGGCUGCGAAACCACAGCGGUUCGAAGGUCGUAUUGAUCAUGGACAGUGAAGAAAUCCCAACAUUUUCCAGUCCAAAGGAGGAAACUGCGUAUUGGAAAGAGCUUUCCUUGAAGUACAAACAGAGCUUCCAGGAAGCUCGUGAAGAGCUGGCUGAAUUUCAGGAGGGAAGCAGAGAAUUAGAAGCUGAGUUGGAGGCACAGCUAGUGCAAGCUGAACAGAGGAACAGAGAUUUGCAAGCAGAUAACCAAAGACUGAAGUAUGAAGUGGAAACACUAAAGGAGAAACUGGAGCACCAGUAUGCGCAAAGUUACAAGCAAGUGUCGUUGUUGGAGGAUGACCUGAGUCAGACACGGGCCAUUAAAGAUCAGCUGCAUAAGUAUGUGAGGGAGCUGGAGCAGGCCAACGAUGACUUGGAACGCGCAAAGAGGGCAACAAUAGUUUCAUUGGAAGACUUUGAACAAAGGCUGAACCAGGCUAUUGAGAGAAAUGCAUUUUUAGAAAGUGAACUGGAUGACAAGGAAUCGUUGCUAGUUUCUGUACAGAGAUUAAAGGAUGAAGCGAGAGACUUGCGGCAAGAGCUAGCAGUUCGGGAAAGGCAACAAGAAGUCACCCGAAAGUCAGCACCCAGUUCUCCAACUCUAGACUGUGAAAAGAUGGAUUCGGCUGUCCAGGCGUCUCUCUCCUUGCCAGCUACGCCUGUGGGAAAAGGAUCAGAAAAUAGUUUUCCUUCCCCAAAAGCUAUACCGAACGGAUUUGGUACCAGCCCCCUUACUCCUUCAGCUAGAAUAUCUGCACUCAACAUUGUGGGAGACCUGUUACGGAAAGUGGGGGCCUUAGAAUCCAAAUUAGCUGCUUGCAGAAAUUUCGCAAAGGACCAGGCAUCACGGAAGUCCUACAUUUCAGGGAAUGUUAACAGUGGCAUGAUGAACAGCAAUGGCACAAAGUACCCUCAUCCAGGGCAUACUACUUUCUUUGACAAAGGUGCUCUGGGCUUUAUCCAGGUGACAUGCUUGCAGCAGUGGAGCUGCUGGGAGUGCUGCUUGUUGCUGAAACAGGGACCCCCUUCCUGCCUGUGUAGAACAGAGUCUUCUUAGGCUGAGCUCAAAGAAGAGAGCUCUGGCGUGAAAAGGUCAUAUUCCCCACCUUGGUCAUGGGGCGGUAAACGGCUUUGACCAAGGUUCCCCUGGACUAGGAGCAUCCCGACCAUCCUCAGCGCCUGGCAUGCUCCCCCUCAGCGUAUGAGCCUGUGGGAGGUCGUGUUCGGACUUGCGGAUGCUUUUCUCAACCAACCAAGAGAAGAACUGCUCCCUCUUCCUCCCUCUUCUUGCCCUGAUGGAACAUGACCUGCUCCCCGUGACCAGAGGAGUCCGUGUGCUCACAGCCCUUCGUGUCAUGUUAAUACAGUUUAUUUCCUCCUGUUGCUGUAGUGGACAUUCUCUGACUUGGCCCCUCAGGCUGAGCCAGGCCGUGCUCUGUGUCAGGGGAUGCAGGAGUCUUGCUUGCCAGACCGUGGCCAGGCAGCCCUCAGCCCUCGCUUUAGCUCUUCUCUAACUUAGAUUUGGCACAACACAAACAGCGGCUGCUCCUCUUAAUGGCUUCCUGGCAUCUGCCUCUUCCACCGUCCUGCUGCUCUGGAGGGGUGGCUGCUGCCCUCCCCCUGAGCCUCUGGCCUUGGACAGGGGAGGCUGUGGUGACACUCAGGACGUUUGUGACUUGACAUCAAGUCUAGGUUAGUGACUCAGUUACUGCAGCUUAAAAAAAAUACAGGUGUGGGGCUGUCACUGCAGGUAUCGUGUCUGGUGUGGGAGCAGGCAGGGAGAAUAAAGUGGGGGGGAAGGGAUGGAUGGAGAUGGAUGUGGCCACCACCUGCCCAGCACACAUCAGUCACAGUGUCACAUGCCUUAGUGUGAGCAGGUAGGGCUGAGCAUUGCUGGAACUUUCUCCUGGGGUGCUCCUGUAGCUGUGGGGCAGGAACCUGUCCAGCUGCUGCAGUGGUCACUGUGUCCCCAGCACAGCUUCCCUGUCCCCAGCCUGUGCCAUCAAACUCCCAGCUCCUCAAUGGGGAUUCUUGGAGAGCUUUAGGAAGCCACUAACCUAGAGGGCUGUGCUGUCUAUGACACCCCCCUGUAACCAUCACUACCCUGUUCUGAUCUGUGUAACGUAGGAGUGGAUUUCACAGCAUCGGCUCUGGGCUUUUGUGACAGUUUUGGGUGACUGUGAACCUUGUGGGUCUUUCAAGCAACAUCUUUGUGAGAGUUCGGAAACCGUCGCUCCCUGCCUGGUUCAUCAUGCUCUGUGGCUCCUAUUGGUUUAUUUACAAGUGCUGAGAAAAACUGUCAGCCCCAGCAGGAGCGGGGGAAGUCCCUCCUUGCCCUGGGGGUCUGUAUGGUCCUUCCUUCCUGUGCAUCCUCUGCUGCAUUUGACUGUUUACAUUUGUUUUAUUGUACAUAGGUUUGUAAACAUGGUCUCUUUGCCUAAGAUCUUUGUACAUAAUUAACUUGGGCUUUGUAGCUUUAUUUAUUCAAAGUCUAUAUGGCAUGUUUGGAUAGGACGGUGUACCAUGCCACCACAGUGACACAGCUCAUCAUGUGGUUAAAACAAACAAAGCCAAAUGAGAGUAAACUUCCAAAAAUAAAGUUCUUUUAAUGUGGA